GAAGUUAGAUAGUAGAGAGUAUACUUUGGCCUCCACUCCAAUCUACUCUCCACACAGAAGACAAAGAUGUUAAAAAAAAAAGAAAGAAAGAAAAGAAAUCUGAGCUCUUCUUUUAGACUCGAAAUGGUCUAAUGGUUUUUCAUGGGAAAAUGAAAUUCAACUCCUAGUAUGGCCUUCAAAGUUCCUCCUGAUUUGGUGUCUGCCACCUUUCAGCCUCGGAAAGUCUCCUCAAAAGUGACAUCAUUUCUGGGGAGGCUUAACUACGAAGUGGAAAAUACAGAGGACCUGCCAGCUCGUGGAGGCUGAAUGACAGUCAGAGACAAGGAGGGGAAAAUUCUUUCAGUUCCUCUGUGGAAUGCAGAAAUCACAGCUAGCGCACCAGUAACCAAACUGGACCAAGAAGCAGAUUUGAGAUUAGAAGUUAAAGGAUAAAGAUGGAAGGAGAAAAUCCUUUGCACUCAUCCUUUUCCACCUGGGCUCAGUAGAGAUGGUUCCCUUCCAGAAGAGUAGUGAGAAGAAGGGCUGCGCAGUCACCAACAAAGAGGAAGCUGUUUGCUUUAUGUCCACCUGAUGAAAAUGAGGAAAGAGGCUAUAUGGCAAGCAAACAACACUUGGGUGGACUUGAACAUGCCCCACUUGGCAUCAGUUGAAUCAUAACUGUAGGUGAAAGAAGGAAGAAAUUCCAUUCCCUCAGGUAGCUUGCUUAAAUCCAGAGAAACCAAAGCAGAACUAAUCCAGAUAGAAAUUGGGACUUGCGAAGUCAUUUUCCGAGCACUGUGGCAGUAGUGGCAGAAGGGUACUAGCUUCUUAAGCCAUUUCACGGAUUAGGUUUCACUAGAUCACCGAAAAAAACAAGGCAAAUGCUUCUGAACACUACAACCAUAGGAAGAAGCCUUCACAUUUUAUAUAAAACAGUUACCAAAACAUUGUCCUGAACACCUAAUUGUCCCUGUCAAAAGUCUGUGUUCAAAGUCCUUAGGAGUUCAAGGUCAGAGGUUUAAAAAAACAAAAAAAACCUUGCCACUAUUUUAGAAUUGGUAUAUGACCUUGUAGACAGAAAUAAUAAUGAUAUAACUUAUGAAAGGUCCCUAGAAAUAUUUUCCAAAAGGCAUCAGAGAUCCUUAUAAGAUGGCCUUUAAUGAUAUUUACCUUCUCUAAGGUGAAUUUGUGACUAUUACUUGUAAACAAGAAUAUCUGUCCUAGUUACAGACAUGAAUUUCCAUUUUAUCUACCUAUGAGAAUGCCCAAAUUUGUAAAUGAGACAGAGGCCAUGUUUUUGCUGGUUUUGUUCCCAAGUCUGACUUGAAAAGCAUCUGGGAUUCUCUCACAGCAUCACGACAACCAUUGAUAUCUAGCUUUGUGGGUGCUGUGAGGUAGGGGGGACAGACACCUGUUGUGUUGGUGAGUAACGUAUCAGACACUACGAGUUUCAUUAGCUAGCAAUAACCAGGUUACUUCCUGAUCCCAGGGACUUCCUGUCAGGGAGUGGCAAUGAGGUUCUAGAGCUGGUAGCUGAAGAAGGUUUCACAAUUCAGCAGGCAGUUUUUGGGUCACAGAGCAAGGAGCAUAUGCCUUGGAUGUCUGUGUUGUGACUUUGGAUGUUGUUCAUCAAAUAAAUCUAGAUCAUUUCUCCAAUCUUCCCAAAGACUCUAUAAUCCAAUUAA